UUAUUCUCUAAGCUCAUUUCUUAUCUCAAAACUCUGCUAAAUUCUCCGUUCGAGCACUCCAUUCUUGUUGAGGUAGAGAACUGACUUGAGCGUCGGAGGGUCUUGCCGGAGCAACCCCACCUCCAGUUUAGACUUCCCUUGCAGGUCCCGGCGGCGACCGCGGCUUCCCCGACUCCAGCUUCUCCGGCGCAAGCAGAUUUUUGCACCAACAGGAUUGGCGCUAGAGGAAGGGCU
rnacentral:lncRNA from 1 species